CCUACGGGACGCACCAGUGGGGAAUAUUGGACAAUGGGCGGAAGCCUGAUCCAGCAACGCCGCGUGAGGGAUGACGGCCUUCGGGUUGUAAACCUCUUUCAGCUCCGACGAAGCGAAAGUGACGGUAGGGGUAGAAGAAGGACCGGCCAACUACGUGCCAGCAGCCGCGGUAAUACGUAGGGUCCGAGCGUUGUCCGGAAUUAUUGGGCGUAAAGGGCUCGUAGGCGGUUUGUCGCGUCGGGAGUGAAAACAGCGGGCUUAACUCGUUGCUUGCUUCCGAUACGGGCAGACUAGAGGUAUGCAGGGGAGAAUGGAAUUCCUGGUGUAGCGGUGAAAUGCGCAGAUAUCAGGAGGAACACCGGUGGCGAAGGCGGUUCUCUGGGCAUUACCUGACGCUGAGGAGCGAAAGUGUGGGGAGCGAACAGGAUUAGAUACCCCAGUAGUC
rnacentral:rRNA from 1 species